ensembl:lncRNA
GAGGAGCUGGCUCUGCGCAGCACCACGGACAGCGCCCCGGGCCGGGAUGUCGGGAUGUUGUAGGGGAGCCGAGAGGCAGCGGGCCCGGGGUGCUGCAGAGGAGCUGGGAUACUGCCUGCGGGGCCCGGGCUUCUACCUGAGCGACCCGAGAUGCGGUGGCAAGCUGGUAAAACCUGGAGAAAGUGAGACUCUGCGAGGUCCUCACCGCGUAACUGGGCAUGCCCAGUGUGCAGUGCCGGUCUGGGGAGAAAGGAGUUAACUCCAGGGGAGCUUGCAGAUUAGGUGGCAAAGUCUGAGUCUGUGGCUAUAAAUGAUGGCUUGAGUCCUGUGGACAUUUACAUUCUUGUUCUUGUUAUAUUUCUACCCCGGGUUAGUUUUGGAGAAGAAACAGCAGAUAUUUUUAUUUCAACAUCACAAACCCAAUAGCCUCAGCCUCAGAUGCCAUAAGACAGGGUCUUCUUAAGUUGCCCGGCUGACCUGGAAUUUGCAGUCCUUCUGCCUCAGUGUCCCAAGUGCUGGGAUUACAGAGGACCUCAAAGCCCAUGGAAUGGACAUUAUCAUCUGGACUUUUCUCCUUUCUCCCAUAUCACCUCUUCCACCUUCUCUUUUGGAAGACAGUAGACAUACCAACCCAUUUGGGCUUCUAAGCACACACACUCUGUCAGUUCUACAUGCAUGAUGCUGCAGAGUCCAGUUCCUCCAUGUAGAAUGGUCUUUUUUUCAAAAUCCACUAGAGAAAUUCUUGCUAAUGGUCUUCCUCCAUUCAAAGUUAGAAUGC